rnacentral:rRNA from 1 species
GAUGAACGCUGACAGAAUGCUUAACACAUGCAAGUCAACUGUGGCGGACGGGUGAGUAACGCGUACGGAACUUGCCUCACAGAUAGGGACAACAUUUGGAAACGAAUGCUAAUACCUGAUACUGUGAGAGAGCUUUGCGUCCCAUUAGCUAGUUGGAGAGGUAACGGCUCAGAAAGGCGAUGAUGGGUAGCCGGCCUGAGAGGGUGAUCGGCCACAAGGGGCCAGGGACACGGGCCUUACGCCAACGGGAGGAAGGAGUGAGGAACUGAGGACAAUGGACCAAAGUCUGAUCCAGGAAUUCUGGGUGUACGAUGAAGUUUUCGGGAUGUAAAGUGCUUUCAGUUGGGAAGCAGUACCAACAGAAGAAGUGACGGCUAACUACGUGCCAGCAGCCGCGGUAAUAC